CAUCAUCAGCACUUUCAUAGUUAUAAUCUCUGGCUUUAUUAGUGAAGAAUAACACGGACUUCGGGACCAGAACUUCACGGAAAAAAUAGCCCAACUUAUAAUCGGUGGCAACAUCCAUCUCUCUGCCCUCAGGAGAAUCAGGAGGAUAGAAGUAGAUGAAGAAAGAAUAGCCAGGCAUCUUCCUGGUGAUGGAUGCAAAACUUUUGCGGCCCUCACCUCUCUGCAGCUUGCUAGUUUUCACGGUGACAUCUUUCCCCUCUUUCCAGUAGAUCUUAUACCCUGUGCUACUGAUAAUUUCUGGCCCUUUGGAGAAGAAGGGAUCAGAAUCACCUGGGUCUGAUCGCAGUUGGUGCUCUAGUACAAGCUCAUCACUUUUUUGGAUCAUCCUGCUGAGGAUCUUCACGUUUUAAAAAGCUGUCAACCAAAAGUGAGACAUAGCAAUAAGGAUGCUCCAGUCUAUGUUUGGGCCUGAGUGCUGACCUGGUUGCUGUGAUGACUUUGGUGAAGAUGGCAACUACCAAGAUGGCUGUUUCCUAGGAGAACCUAUUGACUGAAGGGCCUGCCUACAGGCAGUGGGGUCAACAAAGAAGAUGGAUGCAGAGUGCACAACAGUCUUUAAAGGUGUGAAAGCCCUACCACAGAAAGGGCAGGAGGCCUGCUGGAGGAGGGGUCAACUAAGACUGCACUUGAGAUGGCAUUGGAAGGUGAUAAAAAUCAGGUGGGUAGAUGAAAAGAAGCAGAACUUGGAAGGGUCAACAAAGGGCCCCUCUGUCAUUGCAAGCUCUACAUUCAUUUACUGGGAAGUGAGAAUUGAUGUGCCUGGUGCCCCGUGAGUGAUCAAAGCCCUUUGAUUUUCGUCUCAAAAUCCUCGUAUAUGAGACCAUAGAGGUCUGGGUUAUUUUUAAGCUCAUGCAAAUCCCAUCCAUUUAACGCCACUAUUUUCAGAAAACUAUAGAGCUCCAGUAUGACUGUCUUCUGUGUCAUUGGAACUGUGAUACCCACCCCUACUCCCCAUUUUUCAUCUAGGGACAGCUCAUGUCAGUAGAAUGGAGCCUUAAAGAAUUGUACAGCUCAGCAGUGUUAAAAAUCUCCAAGAAGAGAGAUAGAAAAAAU